rnacentral:rRNA from 1 species
GACGAACCGUGCAAACGUUAUUCGGAAUCACUGGGCAUAAAGGGCGCGUAGGCGGCUUUCUAAGUCAGGGGUGAAUCCGGCAGCUCAACUGUCGCAGUGCCUUUUGAUAUGGAGAGCUCGAGGGAGGUAGGGGUCUGUGGAACUUCCGGUGGAGCGGUGAAAUGCGUUGAUAUGGAAGGAACGCCGGUGCGAAAGCGACGGA